rnacentral:rRNA from 1 species
GACGAACGCUGGCGGCGUGCUUAACACAUGCAAGUCGAACGGUGAAGGGAUCAGCUUGCUGGUUCUGGAUGAGUGGCGAACGGGUGAGUAACACGUGAGUAACCUGCCCCCUUCUUCUGGAUAACCGCAUGAAAGUGUGGCUAAUACGGGAUAUUCUGCGCCUGCUGCAUGGUGGGUGUGGGAAAGAUAUUGUUUCGGUGGGGGAUGGGCUCGCGGCCUAUCAGCUUGUCGGUGGGGUGAUGGCCUACCAAGGCGGUGACGGGUAGCCGGCCUGAGAGGGUGGACGGUCACACUGGGACUGAGACACGGCCCAGACUCCUACGGGAGGCAGCAGUGGGGAAUAUUGCACAAUGGGCGCAAGCCUGAUGCAGCGACGCCGCGUGAGGGAUGGAGGCCUUCGGGUUGUGAACCUCUUUCGCCAGUGAAGCAGGCCUGUCCCUUGUGGGUGGGUUGACGGUAGCUGGAUAAGAAGCGCCGGCUAACUACGUG